UCAAGCGAACAAGUGCAUGUGGUGGAUGCCUUGGCGAUCACAGGCGAUGAAGGACGCGGUAGCCUGCGAAAAGCUACGGGGAGCUGGCAAACGAGCUUUGAUCCGUAGAUGUCCGAAUGGGGAAACCCGGCCCUUUUGGGUCAUCCUAGACUGAAUACAUAGGUCUAGUGAAGCGAACGCGGUGAACUGAAACAUCUAAGUAACCGCAGGAAAAGAAAUCAACCGAGAUUCCCAAAGUAGUGGCGAGCGAAAUGGGAUGAGCCUUGCACUCUUUAUUUGUAUUGUUAGCCGAACGCUCUGGAAAGUGCGGCCAUAGCAGGUGAUAGCCCUGUAGGCGAAAACAGUAUGAAAGAACUAGGUGUGCGACAAGUAGGGCGGGACACGUGAAAUCCUGUCUGAAGAUGGGGGGACCAUCCUCCAAGGCUAAAUACUCGUGAUCGACCGAUAGUGAACCAGUACCGUGAGGGAAAGGCGAAAAGAACCCCGGGAGGGGAGUGAAAUAGAUCCUGAAACCGCAUGCAUACAAACAGUCGGAGCCUCGUAAGGGGUGACGGCGUACCUUUUGUAUAAUGGGUCAGCGACUUACGUUCAGUAGCAAGCUUAACCGUAUAGGGCAGGCGUAGCGAAAGCGAGUCCGAAUAGGGCGUUCAGUUGCUGGGCGUAGACCCGAAACCAAGUGAUCUAUCCAUGGCCAGGAUGAAGGUGCGGUAACACGUACUGGAGGUCCGAACCCACUAACGUUGAAAAGUUAGGGGAUGAGCUGUGGAUAGGGGUGAAAGGCUAAACAAACUUGGAAAUAGCUGGUUCUCUCCGAAAACUAUUUAGGUAGUGCCUCGUGUCUCACCUUCGGGGGUAGAGCACUGUCAUGGUUGGGGGGUCUAUUGCAGAUUACCCCGCCAUAGCAAACUCCGAAUACCGAAGAGUGCAAUCACGGGAGACAGACAUCGGGUGCUAACGUCCGGUGUCAAGAGGGAAACAACCCAGACCGCCAGCUAAGGUCCCCAAAUAUAGCUAAGUGGGAAACGAAGUGGGAAGGCUAAAACAGUCAGGAGGUUGGCUUAGAAGCAGCCACCCUUUAAAGAAAGCGUAAUAGCUCACUGAUCGAGUCGUCCUGCGCGGAAGAUGUAACGGGGCUAAGCUAUAUACCGAAGCUGCGGAUGCGAGCUUUGCUCGCAUGGUAGGAGAGCGUUCCGUAAGCCUGCGAAGGUGCCUUGUAAAGGGUGCUGGAGGUAUCGGAAGUGCGAAUGCUGACAUGAGUAGCGAUAAAGGGGGUGAAAGGCCCCCUCGCCGUAAGCCCAAGGUUUCCUACGCAACGUUCAUCGGCGUAGGGUGAGUCGGCCCCUAAGGCGAGGCAGAAAUGCGUAGCUGAUGGGAAGCAGGUCAAUAUUCCUGCACCAUUGUUAGAUGCGAUGGGGGGACGGAUCGCGGAAGGUUGUCCGGGUGUUGGAAGUCCCGGUCGCUGCAUUGGAGAAGGCGCUUAGGCAAAUCCGGGCGCAGGAUUCAAGGGUGUGGCGCGAGCUCCUUAGGGAGCGAAGCAAUUGGAAGUGGUUCCAAGAAAAGCCUCUAAGCUUCAGUCUAACGAUGACCGUACCGCAAACCGACACAGGUGGGCGAGAUGAGUAUUCUAAGGCGCUUGAGAGAACUCGGGAGAAGGAACUCGGCAAAUUGGUACCGUAACUUCGGGAUAAGGUACGCCCUUGUAGCUUGACUGGCCUGCGCCAGGAGGGUGAAGGGGUUGCAAUAAACUGGUGGCUGCGACUGUUUAAUAAAAACACAGCACUCUGCAAACACGAAAGUGGACGUAUAGGGUGUGACGCCUGCCCGGUGCCGGAAGAUUAAAUGAUGGGGUGCAAGCUCUUGAUUGAAGUCCCGGUAAACGGCGGCCGUAACUAUAACGGUCCUAAGGUAGCGAAAUUCCUUGUCGGGUAAGUUCCGACCUGCACGAAUGGCGUAACGAUGGCCACACUGUCUCCUCCCGAGACUCAGCGAAGUUGAAGUGUUUGUGAUGAUGCAAUCUACCCGCGGCUAGACGGAAAGACCCCAUGAACCUUUACUGUAGCUUUGCAUUGGACUUUGAACCGAUCUGUGUAGGAUAGGUGGGAGGCUAUGAAACCGGAACGCUAGUUUCGGUGGAGCCGUCCUUGAAAUACCACCCUGGUUUGUUUGAGGUUCUAACCUUGGCCCGUGAUCCGGGUCGGGGACAGUGCAUGGUAGGCAGUUUGACUGGGGCGGUCUCCUCCCAAAGCGUAACGGAGGAGUACGAAGGUACGCUAGGUACGGUCGGAAAUCGUGCUGAUAGUGCAAUGGCAUAAGCGUGCUUAACUGCGAGACCGACAAGUCGAGCAGGUGCGAAAGCAGGUCAUAGUGAUCCGGUGGUUCUGUAUGGAAGGGCCAUCGCUCAACGGAUAAAAGGUACUCUGGGGAUAACAGGCUGAUACCGCCCAAGAGUUCAUAUCGACGGCGGUGUUUGGCACCUCGAUGUCGGCUCAUCUCAUCCUGGGGCUGUAGCCGGUCCCAAGGGUAUGGCUGUUCGCCAUUUAAAGAGGUACGUGAGCUGGGUUUAAAACGUCGUGAGACAGUUUGGUCCCUAUCUGCCGUGGGCGUUGGAUAUUUGAAGGGGGCUGCUCCUAGUACGAGAGGACCGGAGUGGACGAACCUCUGGUGUACCGGUUGUCACGCCAGUGGCAUCGCCGGGUAGCUAUGUUCGGAAGAGAUAACCGCUGAAAGCAUCUAAGCGGGAAACUCGCCUUAAGAUGAGAUAUCCCUGGGGACUAGAUCCCCUUGAAGGGUCGUUCGAGACCAGGACGUUGAUAGGUCAGGUGUGUAAGCGCAGUAAUGCGUUCAGCUAACUGAUACUAAUUGCCCGUAAGGCUUGAUCCU
rnacentral:rRNA from 1 species